rnacentral:lncRNA from 1 species
GCAGACCAUGAUCAGUGAGCCCUCCCCACUCUCCCUUUCUCUCUCUCCCCAUCUCCCUAGCUGCAGAGCAUAUUCAGACAGCUCUCCAAUAAGUUCAUCAGUAAUAAAGGUGUGCUAGGGAAUAAAUGAAAUGCCUGGGACAUCAUCGUUAAGUGGCAUCUGAUGCAUAAGCAGUGCCCUAGGAACGGGGUUGCCUGCCUUGGUCUCUAAAGGAUGGGUUCAAAAGGCAAGAGCAGCACACAAGAAGAUAGCUUCAAGCAGGAGAAAAAGCUUGGCCCAGGGCCCAAAGGGGAUACGACCCUUCAGCAAACUGACAUGCUGAAAGCUGCCCUAUGGAGAGGCUCAUGUGGCAAGGAACAUGGGGGUGGCUUCUGGCCAACACCCAGUGAGGAACUCAGGCCCUCAGUCAAACAGCCUGCAAGGAACUGAACCCUGCCAAUAACCGAGCCAUCCCAUGAGGCCGUUACUGCAAACAAGCUGAAAAUCCUGCUUUGUUUCUUUUGGACACAACAUGCUUUCCUUCAGCUUCAGUAGACGAUGAGGCCAGCACCACAUGGGCUAGAUGUACAUGAGAUGUGAGCAACCACACUUCCCCUCUGACGGGGACAGACAGCAUCACAGGACAUGAAGUUCUAAGAGUUUCAGUGACUUGUCUAAGAUUAAACAGCUAUGAAUGGAGAACUGGAGGAAAAUGAGGAUUCCCCAUUAAUGCCAUGAGUUCACUGCAGAGGUCAACACUGGGCAUACACUUCAAUCAUCCAUAAAGGAAAAUGGAGGCCUCAUCAUCUCUCACCUGGGCAACUGCAACAAUGAGCAGCUUGUGUCUGUGCCUGCAUCCAUCCUUCCAUCCUGUUCUCCAGCAGCAGCCAGGGUGGUCUUUCAAAAAUGCAAAGCUGAUAAUGUUACUCCCCUGCUGUAAACCUUCCAGCGGUUUCCUAUUGCCUUCAGAAUAAAAUACGAAUCGUCCGGCCUCCAUCUAUCUCUCCAGGCUCAUCCUCUCUCAAUUUUCCAUAUCCUUCAGGCUGAGCUCUGAAACUUCUCCUGGCAGUUCAAGAGAGCGAUGGAGGGAAUGCUGGGGCACAUCUAAAUAAAGCCCCCAAGUGGGAGUUCCUGCUCAGCUAUGCAUGAGCUCUUUGUGACUUCAUCUCCCAGCCUACAACUUGUGAAAUAAGCACGACUUCACUCAGAGCACAGCCAGAAACAUACAAACUUUCCAAAAAUAUUUGAAUGUUGACAGCAGACUGUCUUGCAUUCCAGUGAAUAAUUGGUUUGUAUGAGUGUGUGUGUGAC